CAGGUGAUGGGUGAGGAUGGUGGGACCUCGCCAGGGGAAUAAAGGCAGUGUAUCUCCAUGGCUGGAGGGGGAAUGAAGCCCCACGGAUUGCUGGCAGCUCCCAGGCAUGGAUCUGCCUUUAUUCCCCCGGCAAGGUCCCACCAUCCUCACCCAUUCCCUUUCCUUUGGACACCCUGGCUUCCUCCCAGGCUGUAGUGGAUGGUGUGCUCCAAAGUCUCUCGCAUUUCCCUUUCCUGCAAAUCUUCAGGUCAAGUGGUAAAUUUAACCUUUCAGAAGGUUCAAUAUCUGCAGGCUGAGUGGAAGCAGAGGAGGAGCUUUAUUCUGUGAUACAGCUUUGUAAUGAUAGAUACUCAUAAAAGCCUACCAUGGUUUGGGUUGGAAGGGACCUUAAAUCUCACCCCAUUCCAUGGGCAGGGACACCUCCUGCUAUCCCAGGCUGCUCCAAGCCCUGUCCAGCCUGGCCUGGGACACUUCCAGGGAUCCAGGGACAGCCACAGCUGCUCUGGCAACCUGUGCCAGGGCCUGCCCACCCUCGCAGGGAAGAAUUUCUUCCUGACAUCCAAUUUGAGCUUACUCUCUCCCAGUUUACAACCCUUCCCUCUUGUCCUACCCAUCCUGUCCUAUCCUCCCACAUAGCUUUGUAACCACCAGGGCAGCACCGCUCUCAACACUUUACAGCUGAGGGAGAUGCUGCACACUGGGUGCACUCCCCCUGAAGCCUUCCCCCUUUUCCUGUAGGAAUCCAACUCCGGAAGGUGCAGGAGCAGUGGGAACAAGAGGCCAAGAAAGAGCCCGUGGGCAAUGACGUGGCCACCAUCCUGUCGCGCCGCAUCGCCGUGGAGUACAGCGAGUCCGACGACGACUCGGAGCUGGACGAGAACGAGUGGUCGGACUGAGGGCCCCGGCUGGGCGGGCUCGGGCUCCUGCUCCCCUCCAGGUCAAUGUGGGACUGAGCUGUGGCACAAAGGAGCUGAGCCAGGCCUCAGGGAAAACCUUCUGGAGGUGAGGAUGGAGAAACUCAGGUCCCAGAGGCUCUGCCCUGGCUUUGGGAAGCCAGAGAGAAGCUCUGACCUUGUGUGCAGCCAGGGAGGGGUGGAGGUGCCCACAGGGCCUUUCUGGCACCUUUGUGAUUCUCCCUCAUCCCUGGGUGGGUACAGCCCCAGAGCAUCCCCCAGGGCAGGGCAGCUCCUUUUGGUUUUGGUGUUGAGCCUCAAAUAGAAUAAAGGUAAAAUGUGCUGCA
rnacentral:lncRNA from 1 species